AACGAACGCUGGCGGCAUGCCUAACACAUGCAAGUCGAACGAGACCUUCGGGUCUAGUGGCGCACGGGUGCGUAACGCGUGGGAACCUGCCCUUAGGUUCGGAAUAACUCCCCGAAAGGGGUGCUAAUACCGGAUAAUGUCUUCGGACCAAAGAUUUAUCGCCUUUGGAUGGGCCCGCGUUGGAUUAGCUAGUUGGUAGGGUAAAAGCCUACCGAGGCGACGAUCCAUAGCUGGUCUGAGAGGAUGAUCAGCCACACUGGGACUGAGACACGGCCCAGACUCCUACGGGAGGCAGCAGUGGGGAAUAUUGGACAAUGGGCGAAAGUCUGAUCCAGCAAUGCCGCGUGAGUGAUGAAGGCCUUAGGGUUGUAAAGCUCUUUUACCCGGGAUGAUAAUGACAGUACCGGGAGAAUAAGCUCCGGCUAACUCCGUG
rnacentral:rRNA from 1 species